rnacentral:rRNA from 1 species
UGAGGAAUAUUGGUCAAUGGGCGGGAGCCUGAACCAGCCAAGCCGCGUGAGGGAUGAAGGCCCUAUGGGUCGUAAACCUCUUUUGUCAGGGAACAAAAACGAGUAUGUAUACUUGUCUGAGUGUACCUGAAGAAAAAGCAUCGGCUAACUCCGUGCCAGCAGCCGCGGUAAUACGGAGGAUGCGAGCGUUAUCCGGAUUUAUUGGGUUUAAAGGGUGCGUAGGCGGCGGUGCAAGUCAGCGGUAAAAGCCCGGGGCUCAACCCCGGCGAGCCGUUGAAACUGCAGUGCUAGAGAAGGCGAGAGGUACGCGGAAUGCGCAGUGUAGCGGUGAAAUGCUUAGAUAUUGCGCAGAACUCCGAUUGCGAAGGCAGCGUACUGGCGCCUGACUGACGCUGAGGCACGAAAGCGUGGGGAUCGAACAGGAUUAGAUACCC